rnacentral:lncRNA from 1 species
GGGGCUGGUAGUAGCGCUGCCUGCAAACCAGCACCAAGGCUGCAAACGAAGCCAGAAAGAUGGUGGCCAGCACACCUAUGGCAACUAUCACCACGGUCUCCAUGCUUCCGGGGAGCUCCUGACUCAGUCCCGUUCACAUCGUCCUCAUGGGCUAAGGCUGCUGGAAGUGGCAAACUGGGGGAAGAGGAUGGCAGGAGCUAGGUUCCUCCACGACACCUCCAGAGACCUGAGGGCCUCAAGCUGCAGCUCCGGGGCACAUCCCGCUGCGCUCCCACGACGGCCCCGCGGAUGGCAAAGUCAGCGGCAUCGCCUAUGCAGGCAAUCAAAGGAUGUUGAUGGAUAAGUGUUUCAGGCAGAAUAAUGGCCCUCAAAGAUGUUGACACCAGAAUCUUCAGAACCUUUGCAUAUGUUACCUAACAUGACAAAAGGGACUUUGCUGAUGUGAUUAAGGUUAAGAACUUUGAGAAGGGAAGAUUAUCCUGGAUUAUACAGGUCGACGUUUAUUUCUUUCUGAACUUUCCUGGAGGAUCAUCGGCCAUACUCCAGCAGAAGGGUGGAUUUGAAAAAAUAACAAGGAAGACGUUGGAGAAUUCACAUGCUAUUUUAGCUGGCUCUGUGAUUGCAAUCACACAAAUCAUUACAUUCCAGCGAGAUCCCAUCAACAGAAGGUUUUUCCAUUUCAGUCUGUCAAGAAUUUGACUUGGGGAAGAAGAAGAAAAGAAGGUGGAUUUCAGCAUGAAAGAAUCUAAACAGUCAUUAGUGAACAAAUGUGUAGCAGUGCUGUCCAACAGAACUUUCUGAAGAAGUAAUGGGAAUACUCUGUAUCUGUGAUGUCCUGUAUGGUAGCCACUGGCCUCACACAGCUCUUGAGCACUUGAAAUGUGGCUACUGUGACUGAGUAAUUGAGUUUUAAAAUUUCAUCAAUUUUAAUUAAUUGAAAUUUAAAUAGCCACAUGAGGCCAGUGACUACAGAAUUGAACAGCACAGGUCUCACAGAUGGACUAAGAGUAAGCCAGUUACGAAGAAGCUUAUACAGGAAGACCGGCUAAAAUAUGUCAAAGGAGAGUUUCUCUUUCUGAACUCCGAGGAGCUGUUCAAAUAAGACUGGUCUGGAGAGAGUUUUGGGUGGCUGGAGGUAUUUUCACCCCUCCACUUACUGUGCCUAACCUUAGUAUUGUUGCCAUUCUCACGUUUCUGUAUGACUCCAUCUCCCUUGUUCUGUUCCGAUGCCGCUUUUUCAGUUUUUCUGAGCUCUCAAUUAAACACAGUGAAA